rnacentral:rRNA from 1 species
UACGUAGGGGGCAAGCGUUGUCCGGAAUCAUUGGGCGUAAAGCGCGUGUAGGCGGCGCGGUAAGUCGGGUGUGAAAUCUUGGAGCUUAACUCCGAAACUGCAUUCGAUACUGCCGUGCUUGAGGACUGGAGAGGAGACUGGAAUUUACGGUGUAGCGGUGAAAUGCGUAGAUAUCGUAAGGAAGACCAGUGGCGAAGGCGGGUCUCUGGACAGUUCCUGACACUGAGGCACGAAGGCCAGGGGAGCAAACGGG